rnacentral:rRNA from 1 species
UACGAAGGGGGCUAGCGUUGUUCGGAAUUACUGAGCGUAAAGCGCGCGCAGGUGGUCUUUCAAGUCAGUGGUGAAAGCCCGGAGCUCAACUCCGGAAAUGCCAUUGAAACUGUAAGACUUGAGGAUGAGAGAGGUGAGUGGAAUUCCCAGUGUAGAGGUGAAAUUCGUAGAUAUUGGGAAGAACACCGGUGGCGAAGGCGGCUCACUGGCUCAUAUCUGACGCUCAGGCGCGACAGCGUGGGGAUCAAACAGG